rnacentral:rRNA from 1 species
AUUGAACGCUGGCGGCAGGCCUAACACAUGCAAGUCGAGCGAGCGGCGGACGGGUGAGUAAUGUAUGGGGACUGCCCGAUAGAGGGGGAUAACUACUGGAAACGGUAGCUAAUACCGCAUACUAUCGGAUAACCCAUAUGGGAUUAGCUCGUGGGUGGGGUAAUGGCUCACCAAGGCGACGAUCCCUAGCUGGUCUGAGAGGAUGAUCAGCCACACGGGGACGGAGACACGGCCCAGACUCCUACGGAGGCAGCAGUGGGGAAUAUUGCACAAGGGGCGCAAGCCUGCUGCAGACAUGCCGGGUGUAUGAAGAAGGCCCUAGGUUUGUAAAGUACUUUCAGUCGGGAGGCGUUACCGACAGAAGAAGCACCGGCUAACUCCGUGCCAGCCGCCGCGGUAAUUC